rnacentral:rRNA from 1 species
UCUUGCGCAAUGGGCGAAAGCCUGACGCAGCCAUGCCGCGUGAAUGAUGAAGUUCNUANNAUUGUNANAUUCUUUCACCGGGGNNNNNAAUGACGGUACCCGGAGAAGAAGCCCCGGCUAACUUCGUGCCAGCAGCCGCGGUAAUACGAAGGGGGCUAGCGUUGCUCGGAAUUACUGGGCGUAAGGGGCGCGUAGGCGGAUCGUUAAGUCAGGGGUGAAAUCCCGGGGCUCAACCUCGGAACUGCCCUUGAUACUGGCGAUCUUGAGUAUGAGAGAGGUAUGUGGAACUCCGAGUGUAGAGGUGAGAUUCGUAGAUAUUCGGAAGAACACCAGUGGCGAAGGCGACAUACUGGCUCAUUACUGACGCUGAGGCGCGAAAGCGUGGGGAGCAAACA